rnacentral:rRNA from 1 species
AAUGAACGCUGGCGGCGCGCCUAAUACAUGCAAGUCGAGCGAGAAGACGUAGCAAUACGUUUGUAAAGCGGCGAACGGGUGAGGAAUACAUGGGGUAACCUACCCUCGAGUGGGGAAUAACUAGCCGAAAGGUUAGCUAAUACCGCGUACGCUUCUUGGACUUCGGUUCAGGGAGGAAAGCGAUGCCGAGGGUAUCGCGCUCUUGGAUGGGCUCAUGUCCUAUCAGCUUGUUGGGAGGUAACGGCUCACCAAGGCUUCGACGGGUAGCUGGUCUGAGAGGACGAUCAGCCACACUGGCACUGCGACACGGGCCAGACUCCUACGGGAGGCAGCAGUAAGGAAUAUUGCGCAAAUGGGCGAAAGCCUGACGCAGCGACGCCGCGUGGGGGAGU